UACGGGGGGGGCAAGCGUUGUUCGGAAUUACUGGGCGUAAAGGGUUCGUAGGUGGCUUGCUAAGUCAGACGUGAAAUCCCUCAGCUUAACUGGGGAACUGCGUCUGAGACUGGCAAGCUUGAGUGCAGGAGAGGAACGCGGAAUUCCAGGUGUAGCGGUGAAAUGCGUAGAUAUCUGGAGGAACACCGGUGGCGAAGGCGGCGUUCUGGACUGCAACUGACACUGAGGAACGAAAGCCAGGGGAGCAAACGGG
rnacentral:rRNA from 1 species